GAUGAACGCUGGCGGCGUGCUUAACACAUGCAAGUCGAACGAAGCAUUUAGGACAGAUUACUUCGGUUUGAAGUUCUUUAUGACUGAGUGGCGGACGGGUGAGUAACGCGUGGGUAACCUGCCUUGUACUGGGGGAUAGCAGCUGGAAACGGCUGGUAAUACCGCAUAAGCGCACAAUGUUGCAUGACAUGGUGCGAAAAACUCCGGUGGUAUAAGAUGGACCCGCGUCUGAUUAGCUAGUUGGUGAGAUAACAGCCCACGAAGGCGACGAUCAGUAGCCGACCUGAGAGGGUGACCGGCCACAUUGGGACUGAGACACGGCCCAGACUCCUACGGGAGGCAGCAGUGGGGAAUAUUGCACAAUGGAGGAAACUCUGAUGCAGCGACGCCGCGUGAGUGAAGAAGUAAUUCGUUAUGUAAAGCUCUAGCAGCAGGGAAGAUAGUGACGGUACCUGACCAAGAAGCUCCGGCUAAAUACGUG
rnacentral:rRNA from 1 species